rfam:Salimicrobium flavidum strain DSM 23127 genome assembly, contig: Ga0111645_101
AUUACCUUUAAUGAACGUCCCGUGAGACUUCAAAGGUAAGGAGUAGAGCACAGGUGUAGUGGACACCUGGGCAGAAACCUCUUUGCUUAUUGAAGCGAAGAGGUUUUUUUGUA